GAUGAACGCUGGCGGCGUGCCUAAUACAUGCAAGUCGAGCGAACGGACGAGAAGCUUGCUUCUCUGAUGUUAGCGGCGGACGGGUGAGUAACACGUGGAUAACCUACCUAUAAGACUGGGAUAACUUCGGGAAACCGUAGCUAAUACCGGAUAAUAUUUUGAACCGCAUGGUUCAAAAGUGAAAGACGGUCUUGCUGUCACUUAUAGAUGGAUCCGCGCUGCAUUAGCUAGUUGGUAAGGUAACGGCUUACCAAGGCAACGAUGCAUAGCCGACCUGAGAGGGUGAUCGGCCACACUGGAACUGAGACACGGUCCAGACUCCUACGGGAGGCAGCAGUAGGGAAUCUUGCGCAAAGGGCGCAAGCCUGACGGAGCCAAGCCGCGUGAGUGAUGAAGGUCUUCGGAUCGUAAAACUCUGUUAUUGGGGAAGAACAUAUGUGUAUGUAACUGUGCACGUCUUGACGGUACCUAAUCAGAAAGCCACGGCUAACUACGUG
rnacentral:rRNA from 1 species